GAARCACAGGAAGCACAAGGCSAAGCAGCAGAAGAAGAGUCGGGAGGAGGAGUCCAGCAGCUCWGAGGACGGCGAAGGCGUUCAGCCGUCCACAGGUGACCUGCUGAGAAGGCUGAAGAGCAUCCGGACCCCGAACACCUGGUGACCCGCAGAGCCUCUCUUCUUCUGCUGUCUAAUAAACACCUGAAUCAUCUGA